GAUGAACGCUGGCGGCGUGCCUAAUACAUGCAAGUCGAGCGAACGGACGAGAAGCUUGCUUUUCUGAUGUUAGCGGCGGACGGGUGAGUAACACGUGGAUAACCUACCUAUAAGACUGGGAUAACUUCGGGAAACCGGAGCUAAUACCGGAUAAUAUUUUGAACCGCAUGGUUCAAAGGUGAAAGGCGGUCUUGCUGUCACUUAUAGAUGGAUCCGCGCUGCAUUAGCUAGUUGGUAAGGUAACGGCUUCCAAGGCAACGAUGCAUAGCCGACCUGAGAGGGUGAUCGGCCACACUGGAACUGAGACACGGUCCAGACUCCUACGGGAGGCAGCAGUAGGGAAUCUUCCGCAAUGGGCGAAAGCCUGACGGAGCAACGCCGCGUGAGUGAUGAAGGUCUUCGGAUCGUAAAACUCUGUUAUUAGGGAAGAACAUAUGUGUAAGUAACUGUGCACAUCUUGACGGUACCUAAUCAGAAAGCCACGGCUAACUACGUG
rnacentral:rRNA from 1 species